rnacentral:rRNA from 1 species
AGCAGUAGCCACGGUAAUACGGAGGGAGCUAGCGUUGUUCGGAAUUACUGGGCGUAAAGCGCGCGUAGGCGGUUACUCAAGUCAGAGGUGAAAGCCCGGGGCUCAACCCCGGAACUGCCUUUGAAACUAGGUGACUAGAAUCUUGGAGAGGUCAGUGGAAUUCCGAGUGUAGAGGUGAAAUUCGUAGAUAUUUGGAAGAACACCAGUGGCGAAGGCGACUGACUGGACAAGUAUUGACGCUGAGGUGCGAAAGCGUGGGGAGCAAACAGGAUUAGAUACCCCAGUAGUCCCUGUCUCUUAUAU